rnacentral:tRNA from 1 species
GCCCGAGUGAUGGAAUGGCAGACAUACAGGACUUAAAAUCCUGAGGAGGGAAACCUCCGUGCGGGUUCGACUCCCGCCUCGGGCA